rnacentral:rRNA from 1 species
AGAGUUUGAUCAUGGCUCAGGACGAACGCUGGCGGCGUGCUUAACACAUGCAAGUCGAGCGGGGUUUAUCGGAUUAGCUUGCUAAACUGAUAAACCUAGCGGCGGACGGGUGAGUAACGCGUGAGCAAUCUGCCUCAUACAGGGGGAUAACAGGUGGAAACACCUGCUAAUACCGCAUAAGACUCCACUACCGCAUGGUAGAGAAGUCAAAGGGAUUACCGGUAUGAGAUGAGCUCGCGUCCCAUUAGCUAGUUGGUAGGGUAAAGGCCUACCAAGGCGACGAUGGGUAGCCGACCUGAGAGGGUGAUCGGCCACACUGGGACUGAGACACGGCCCAGACUCCUACGGGAGGCAGCAGUGGGGAAUAUUGCACAAUGGAGGGAACUCUGAUGUAGCAACGCCGCGUGAGUGAAGAAGGUUUUCGGAUCGUAAAACUCUGUCAUUGGGGAAGAAUAAAUGACGGUACCCAAUGAGGAAGCCCCGGCUAACUACGUGCCAGCAGCCGCGGUAAUACGUAGGGGGCGAGCGUUGUCCGGAAUUACUGGGCGUAAAGGGUACGUAGGCGGCUAUAUAAGUCAGGUGUGAAAUACCAGUGCUUAACACUGGAAUUGCAUUUGAAACUGUGUAGCUUGAGUGCAGGAGAGGAAAGUGGAAUUCCUAGUGUAGCGGUGAAAUGCGUAGAGAUUAGGAGGAACACCAGUGGCGAAGGCGACUUUCUGGACUGUAACUGACGCUGAGGUACGAAAGCGUGGGUAGCGAACAGGAUUAGAUACCCUGGUAGUCCACGCCGUAAACGAUGGAUACUAGGUGUAGGGGGUAUCGACCCCCCCUGUGCCGGGAGUUAACGCAAUAAGUAUCCCGCCUGGGGAGUACGGUCGCAAGACUGAAACUCAAAUGAAUUUGACGG